rnacentral:rRNA from 1 species
GAUGAACGCUGGCGGCGUGCCUAAUACAUGCAAGUCGAGCGAACGGACGAGAAGCUUGCUUCUCUGAUGUUAGCGGCGGACGGGUGAGUAACACGUGGAUAACCUACCUAUAAGACUGGGAUAACUUCGGGAAACCGGAGCUAAUACCGGAUGAUAUUUUGAACCGCAUGGUUCAAAAGUGAAAGACGGUCUUGCUGUCACUUAUAGAUGGAUCCGCGCUGCAUUAGCUAGUUGGGAAGCUAACGGCUUACCAAGGGAAGGAUGCAUAGCCGACCUGAGAGGCUGAUCGCCCACACGAGAACUGCGACUCGCUCCAUACUCCUACGGGAGGCAGCAGUAGGGAAUCUUCCGCAAUGGGCGAAAGCCUGACGGAGCAACGCCCCGUGAGUGAUGAAGGUCUUCGGAUCGUAAAACUCUGUUAUUAGGGAAGAACAUAUGUGUAAGUGACUGUGCACAUCUUGACGGUACCUAAUCAGAAAGCCACGGCUAACUACGUG